rnacentral:rRNA from 1 species
GCCCGCUCAGAAACUCAAAUGAAUUGGACGGGGGCCCGCACAAGCGGUGGAGCAUGUGGUUUAAUUCGAUGAUACGCGAGGAACCUUACCUGGGCUCAAAUGUAUGUUGACGUAUUCUGAAAGGGAUACUUCUUCGGACAAUAUACAAGGUGCUGCAUGGUUGUCGUCAGCUCGUGCCGUGAGGUGUCGGGUUAAGUCCCAUAACGAGCGCAACCCCUAUCAUUAGUUGCCAUCAGGUCAAGCUGGGGACUCUAAUGAAACUGCCUACGCAAGUAGUGAGGAAGGUGGGGAUGACGUCAAAUCAGCACGGCCCUUACGUCCAGGGCUACACACGUGCUACAAUGGCCGGUACAAAGGGCAGCUACCUGGUGACAGGAUGCUAAUCUCAAAAGCCGGUCUCAGUUCGGAUCGGAGUCUGCAACUCGACUCCAUGAAGUUGGAAUCGCUAGUAAUCGUGGAUCAGCAUGCCACGGUGAAUACGUUCCCGGGCCUU